rnacentral:rRNA from 1 species
UACGAAGGGGGCUAGCGUUGCUCGGAAUUACUGGGCGUCAAGCGCACGUAGGCGGUCUUUUAAGUCGGGGGUGAAAUCCUGGAGCUCAACUCCAGAACUGCCUUCGAUACUGGAAGACUUGAGUCCGGGAGAGGUGAGUGGAACUGCGAGUGUAGAGGUGAAAUUCGUAGAUAUUCGCAAGAACACCAGUGGCGAAGGCGGCUCACUGGCCCGGUACUGACGCUGAGGUGCGAAAGCGUGGGGAGCAAACAGG